CUCUUGUUGCACAAAUAACUAAAGUGACAUAAAUCAAUUUUUGCUUUCCUUAAAACAUCGCCUUUAUUUGACUUGUUAGUAUCUUAUUGGUAUCUUUGUAUGUAUUGCAUGAGUGGGUCAAAUCUUUGAAGAAAGGCUCCACGCUUGCAUGCGAAUUCUUAACUCUGUGAUUCCCGCACGUAUGUGGAGCCUUUGACUAAAAUAAUCGAUGCCACCAUUUUGCAAAGAAAAAAAACAUGCUGUCAGUGUGACUUCACCUGUCAGUGAUGUCAAUGUCAACCAGUUGUCAACGAAUCGUGCUUCACGUAUGGCGCUUAUUUAAUGCGCUCCGCUUGCGAACCGCUGUAAAUAAAAUAAAAUAAUUUAUUAAAUGAAUAUUUUAGCAAGUGAUGUGACAUGUGUUUAACGUAAGAAGAUUUCUAAUUUGUGUUUCGGAAACGAAUAAUUAAUGUUUUUGGGUAUUUUUGUAAAGCGAAAAAUAUAAAAAUGAGUGAUAACGUGAGUUUUAAAGAUAUUUUGGAGCCCCGGAGGACUGAGAGUGGGAUAUUUAGGUUCAUGUCGCGGGCCUGGUACCCGCAGAGGACGCUGGUGAUGGAUAAGUACCUGAGCCCUCAGGAUCUGAAGGAUAUAGCCGCCAGUUCUAUCUUCCUGGAAACUGUGAUUGAGGCGGAAAGUGUGAAAACGGGUGUCCCAAAAGAUAAGUUGAAAGAAGAAGUAACCCAAUACCUGGAAGAGAUGGGGCUGGAAAAGAAGCUGCAUGUGAUCCGCUGGAUGGGGAUUGUAUUCCUCAAGAUCGCCUUCAUGAUGAAGAUUGGGAUCUAUGUCAAUGAACCUUCAGUAUUAAAGCUCAAAGAGGCGAUGGGAUCAAACCCAAUACUCUUCCUGCCCACACACCGCAGCUAUGCAGACUUCUGUGUGAUGACAUAUCUGUGCUACCACUAUGAUAUAGACUUACCGGCCGUUGCUGCUGGAAUGGACUUCUACUCCAUGGCGGUGGUGGGGCGGCGCAUGCGCGAGACGUGCGCGUUCUACAUCCGCCGCACGCUGGCGGGGGCUCCGCUGUACGCCGCCACGCUCAAGCAAUACGUACGGACGUUGGUCGCGAAACACUGCUCGCCCAUCGAGUUCUUCCUCGAAGGGACGAGGAGCAGGAGCAAUAAAAGCUUGCCUCCUAAAUAUGGUAUGCUCUCAAUGAGUCUGGUGCCAUGGUUUGCGCGCGAAGUUAGCGACAUCACAAUCGUCCCCAUCAACAUCAGUUAUGAUCGCCUCAUGGAGCACGGGCUCUUCGCCUACGAGCAUCUAGGCGUGCCCAAACCUAAAGAGUCUACUGGGGGUCUGCUGAAAUCCCUCCACCGCCUAAACGACCACUUCGGCAACAUCUACAUCAAUCUUGGCUCCCCCCUCUCCGUCCGCGAGUACCUCAACGCCCCCACCGAAAGCGCCGAGCGCCUCAAACCCGUAGACCUACAGCAACUUACUCCAGCACAGUUCCAAAAUGUCCAAGACUUAGCGAAUUACGUGAUAACAUUACAACAGAAAAACACUGUAGUGACGAUUUCGAACUUGCUAGCUUUAGUACUCAUGCAAAGCUUAAUGAAAAGCAAGGUCUUAAGUCUCCCACAAGUUUUAAUUGAAGUUGAAUGGAUGGUAGGGGUACUGAGACAGUUAGAAGCGUCGGUAUUUGAGAAUGACGUUAAGAGUAGCGUGGAGAGAGUGCUGGUGGUACAUAGGAGCAUGAUGAGAUUGGACCAGCAUAGUAGACUUAGGCUGGUGUCCAGUGAGAUCAUGGAGGUGUCGGCGGAUGUGCAGAAGAAGAUGAAAGGCCACAUAAUAAAAGCGGAGACGAUGGUGAACGCCGUGCCUAUAAUCCAGCUGCAGCUGUACGUGAACCCUGUCCUGCACUACCUCGUGCCGCCGGCCGUGCUGUGCGUCAUAGUUGCCAGGGGACCAACUACUAGAGAACAGUUGGUGGCAGACUACAACCGCAUCAGAACGAUGCUCAGACACGAAUUCUUCCACCUCGAGAAGACUGAAGCGGCGACAUUCUCGCAAGCCUUAGAAUACUGCCUGCAGAAUGGGGUACUCGCGACAAAAGACAGCCUUACGUUCACACCAGGCUCAGACGAGAAAUUGUCGUACUUGCUCAAAUGGGCUAUUUGGCCUGCCCUCUCCACACUGCUCAUCUGUGCUGAUGUCAUGACUCAGCAAACAAGCUGUACACACAGAGAAGCACUAAAGUUGGUACAAGCGGCGGCCGAGGCGCGGCGACGGCACCCCUACUGCCUCAGCCUCGACGCCGGCGCCGGCUGCUGCGGCGGCCUGCUGCUGGCCGGGGCCACUGUCAGGGACAACAGGUCAGUUGUACUAACAGACAAGCUGGUGCAGGCGGCGGCACCCCUACUGCCUCAGCCUCGACGCCGGCGCCGGCUGCUGCGGCGGCCUGCUGCUGGCCGGGGCCACUGUCAGGGACAACAGGUCAGUUGUACUAACAGACAAGCUGGUGCAGGCGGCGGCACCCCUACUGCCUCAGCCUCGACGCCGGCGCCGGCUGCUGCGGCGGCCUGCUGCUGGCCGGGGCCACUGUCAGGGACAACAGGUCAGUUGUACUAACAGACAAGCUGGUGCAGGCGGCGGCACCCCUACUGCCUCAGCCUCGACGCCGGCGCCGGCUGCUGCGGCGGCCUGCUGCUGGCCGGGGCCACUGUCAGGGACAACAGGUCAGUUGUACUAACAGACAAGCUGGUGCAGGCGGCGGCACCCCUACUGCCUCAGCCUCGACGCCGGCGCCGGCUGCUGCGGCGGCCUGCUGCUGGCCGGGGCCACUGUCAGGGACAACAGGUCAGUUGUACUAACAGACAAGCUGGUGCAGGCGGCGGCACCCCUACUGCCUCAGCCUCGACGCCGGCGCCGGCUGCUGCGGCGGCCUGCUGCUGGCCGGGGCCACUGUCAGGGACAACAGUGCCGCGGAACCAACUUACAUCGUGUCACCAGCCAUAUUGUCCGAAUGCCGCCGCCUCAUCUGCUCCGUACUACCCGAAUUCGAAGUGGACUUCACCGCCUCUAACCCCGUCAUCUUGGACCAGAAACUUGCUGCUAGACUAUAGACUUGUUGUUGGUGUUGUUGAAACAAGCAGGAUUCUUCUAUAUAUUGUUAAGGUUGCAAUAGGUCGGUGACAAACUAUCAUACAGUCCACCUUGUAAGCGGUUACCUCCUUCGUUGAAGAACUGUUAUUAUGUGUUGUAUAUCGCAAGCUUCUUUGCAUGCCCACAAAUACAACUCAAUUAGUAGACAUGAUGUUUACCGUUCGUAUGUGUGUGAUGGUGUAAAACCGUGUCUUCACACCUCGAUCGUGCCGUAUAGAGUUGAAAAACCGUUCUCGAAAAAAUUUAUGAUAAUUCGGUCAGGUUCCUUAUUAAAGAAGCAAAAUACAUAAAAAAUGUAUGGUACCCUAACUUUUGCUAUAUAGUGCAGUGCGGCGGCAUAAACAUUAAGUACAAUUUAUUAUUAGAUCUAGUAUGCGUGGUCGGUGAUUGCUACGGUUCUUUUUAAUUCAGGGGGAAAAUAUAAGAAUUCCAUUAAUGAAACCCCUCAAGAUAAGACCAUUAGUGACACAACUCACAAAUUUGAUAGAGACAAAAGUACUUUGGGGGCGACUCGGGCCCAUAUAAGUGAUAACUAGAAAUUGGGAUGCAAUGCAGUAUCCUUAACUUUCGAGUGUGUGUACACAAUUUUUGUUUAUUUAUUUGUGUAUAUCCAGUGUGUAUUUUUUUAAACGCGUUUAGACGCGAUUACUACCCAUAUGAUAAUUAUAAAGGGGUACAAACGAACUACGUACAACAUUGACGUAGAGGUGACUAUUAUUAUUAUUAUUUAUAAAGUGAGAAUUAUUCGCUCCAAAGUAUUGUAACGAAAAUAUUGGUGAUAUUUUUAAGUUAAUUAUAUAAUAGCUUUAAAAACGUCAUAAUAAAAGUGAGUUGCCGUAUUAUGUUUAUUGACAAAAUAUUGUGAAUUAUUUGUGAUUUAAGUAUUAAUAGUACAAGUUUAUAUUUAGUUUACUUCAUCAGAACUGACAUAAUCUUAUUUAUUAAAAAUCCCCAGAAAAGAUGUUAGUCGUUCAGUUCAUUCCAUUCACGCUAGCUUUGGUCUUUACAGAAUAUUUAUUCCAAAGCGUGACCUGUCAGACUAAUGAACUAGAUAACUUCCGUAAUUCAGAGUUUCAAAUAUAUUGAUAACGAGUCAUUCAUUCACUUAUAUACAGGUUAAUUCACAAGUGCUGGCGCAAAUGGAACGAAUGAAUGAAUGAAAAUAUCUACAUAUGUGUGUAUGACGUUAAUCAAUAAAAUGGUGGCUCUGACUGUAUACAGGUGUCACUCAUACAAUGAAAGUUUCGUUCAUUCCACUCGUGCCAGCUUUUGUGAAAUUACCUGUAAGGCCGGUAGACAUUCGGUGUUUUUGCCACAUAGUCGCGUAACACGGUCCGGUUUCCGGCGAAAACACCGGACGUUUACAACCGGCCUAAUAAGUCACCUUUCGCUCAGCAUAUUUAUGAAUUUCGAUCCGUUACGAGGAUCGUCAUCGGGACUAACACCAGCAGCAAAGAGAAUUUGAAAUGGAGGUGGAUUGUCAAAGUAAAUUUUGUAGCCACAGUAAAUUAACUGCCAUCUUUCGACACUUGAUUAAAACUUUUAGAACGCUAUUUGACUUUGAUCCUUAUUCUUUCACUGAUAUGUGCAAAAGAUCACCGUAGACUGAAAUCUCGACCUAAAUUAGUGAAAAUUGUGAUGGCCCUGUAAGGUGACAAAUGAAAACUGGUAUUUUGUAGGUGUUAGUUUGUCCUACCUACUACUUACUAUUAAGUACUACCUUUUGACCGCCACCGAACAUGACAACGCGUAACUAUAAUCUGUCAAACAACUUUGUCAGUAGAAAAAGGCGCGAAAUUGAAAUUUUCUAUGGGACAUAACCUUUCUCGCCUACAUUUUUUAAAUUUGCCGCUUUUUUCUAGUGACAGACAUCGUUGACAGGCUAUCGUUAAAAUGUACCUACCUUCUACAAAGUUUACUAUUGCAAUUAUUUGUGUUGUUUCUAAGCAAAAAGUCCCACAUUGUCGUUUGCCAUAAGGACGCUUUGACAGGUUAUUCGUAUAAAGACAAGCUAAUCUCGUCUUUUUGGGAAGCGACAAAGGGGGACCUUUGACUAGGCUUUCACACAUUUACAGGUACUAUAAUUAUUUUGUUGCGGUCAACAUAUAAUUUAAUAAAUUUAAAUCGGUAUUUAGUGAUAAAUUGAUGCCAGAUUAUGUAUAAUUGUAAUAGAACGAUGUUCUCACGGACAAAUAUAUUAUUAUAGAUUUGAUUUGUUACCAGUGUUUUGUCACUGUGACAACUUGGCUAGUCACGUCAUGCCUGUAUUUAUCGGUUUAUGUUGUUUUAAAUAUAACGGUGUUGAUAAUUUAUAAUUUAAAUAAAAUUUUCUUUAGCUA